rnacentral:lncRNA from 15 species
GAUAGAUAGAUAGAUAGAUAGAUAGAUAGAUAGAUAGAUGCUUUAUUCAUCCCCAAGGGGAAAUUCACAGUAUCCAGCAGUAUCCACAAACUGAUAAUAUUAAUAAUAAUAAUAAUAAUAAUAAUAAUAAUAAUAAUAAUAAUAACAACAACAACAAGAGGAGGUCAAUUUAGAAGAACUAAUAGAAUAAAGUAGAAUAAAUAGCUAAAUAACGAGCAUUGGGUAAGUGUCCUAAUGUGCAUGGUCAAAUCCAGUGCUUGAAAGGCCGAAGGUGCAUAAGUAGUGUCAGUCAGUCAGUCAGUCAGUCAGUCAGUGGUCACAUAAUGCAGGGUGCACUGCGUCAGGAGGUAUAGUUAACUAAAGGGCAGACACAUUGGAGUUUAGAGUUUUCCUCCCCUGGGUGGAGUUGAAGAGCAAACAUCUGGAAACUUCCAGAAAGAAGGAACGCUGAGAGUUGGACAGCAGGAGAAAGAUCUCACUGAGAGGUUCUGUCGGUUGAGAGGAAACCUGCUCUUCAUCCUCAACAAACAGGGCGGUAAGCUGGUGGAGGUGCUGCUGUUGGAGAGAUGUGAGGUUGUGACGGACGAUGACAGACGACUGGCUGUCAGUAAGUGACGCACACACUCUGAGGUUGCACCCCGGGGCUAACGUUGCACGAGCA